rnacentral:tRNA from 1 species
AAAGUUUAGUGGUAUAAUACUCCCUUAGCAUCUCGCAGCUUCGCUUGAAGCUCGAAUCCUGACUGGGAGUGGUCCGGGGUUCGAUUCCCCGCGAGUCCA